rnacentral:rRNA from 1 species
GACGAACGCUGGCGGCGUGCUUAACACAUGCAAGUCGAACGCUGAAGCUUGGUGCUUGCACUGGGUGGAUGAGUGGCGAACGGGUGAGUAAUAAGUGAGUAACCUGCCCUUGACUCUGGGAUAAGCCUGGGAAACUGGGUCUAAUACUGGAUACGACAUGUCACCGCAUGGUGGUGUGUGGAAAGGGUUUUACUGGUUUUGGAUGGGCUCACGGCCUAUCAGCUUGUUGGUGGGGUAAUGGCUCACCAAGGCGACGACGGGUAGCCGGCCUGAGAGGGUGACCGGCCACACUGGGACUGAGACACGGCCCAGACUCCUACGGGAGGCAGCAGUGGGGAAUAUUGCACAAUGGGCGGAAGCCUGAUGCAGCGACGCCGCGUGAGGGAUGACGGCCUUCGGGUUGUAAACCUCUUUCAGCACGGAAGAAGCGAAAGUGACGGUACGUGCAGAAGAAGCGCCGGCUAACUAC